rnacentral:rRNA from 1 species
GACGAACGCUGGCGGCGUGCUUAACACAUGCAAGUCGAACGGAAAGGCCCUGCUUUUGUGGUGUGCUCGAGUGGCGAACGGGUGAGUAACACGUGAGUAACCUGCCCUUGACUUUGGGAUAACUUCAGGAAACUGGGGCUAAUACCGGAUAGGAGCUCCUGCUGCAUGGUGGGGGUUGGAAAGUUUCGGCGGUUGGGGAUGGACUCGCGGCUUAUCAGCUUGUUGGUGGGGUAGUGGCUUACCAAGGCUUUGACGGGUAGCCGGCCUGAGAGGGUGACCGGCCACAUUGGGACUGAGAUACGGCCCAGACUCCUACGGGAGGCAGCAGUGGGGAAUAUUGCACAAUGGGCGGAAGCCUGAUGCAGCAACGCCGCGUGCGGGAUGACGGCCGUCGGGUUGUAAACCGCGUUCGCCUGUGACGAAGCGUGAGUGACGGUAAUGGGUAAAGAAGCACCGGCUAACUACGUG